CGCCAACCAAUCAUUGCACCUGGUCGCGUGCGGUCCCAAGAAAAGAUUUUCCAAGUCAACACAGUAUCCUGUGGUUAUAAAUGAGGUACGAUGAAGCUGAUAUACCGUGCAAUCCAUGAUUGGACAGGCUUAGACAAGAUCUAGGGGGAGACAAACGACCGCUACACAAGACACGGAAAACACCAGCCAUCUUCUGCACAGGACCUUGUUAGUUUCUUUCUUAGUUUUGACCAACCAUGCUGGCCUUUUAGCGGUAAUUUUUGUUGUUCUGGCUUUUUAAAUAGGACUUGCAUUUUAAAUUUUAUUGGGAAAUCCAAGUCAGCAUUUGCAUUUCAACAGAAUAAAAAUAUCAUUAAAUAAAUCAAUGCUAGGCUC